AUUGAACGCUGGCGGCAGGCCUAACACAUGCAAGUCGAACGAGUGGCGGACGGGUGAGUAAUGUCUGGGAAACUGCCUGAUGGAGGGGGAUAACUACUGGAAACGGUAUCUAAUACCGCAUACCAUCCGAUUUGCCCAGAUGGGAUUAGCUUGUUGGUGGGGUAAUGGCUCACCAAGGCGACGAUCCCUCGCUGGUCUGAGAGGAUGACGAGCCACACUGGAACGGAGACACGGUCCAGACUCCAACGGGAGGCAGCAGUGGGGAAUAUUGCACAAUGGGGGAAAGCCUGAGGCAGCCAUGCCGCGUGUAUGUAGAAGGCCUUCGGGUUGUAAAGUACUUUCAGCGGGGAGGCGUUACCCGAAGAAGAAGCACCGGCUAACUCCGUGCCAGCAGCCGCGGUAAUAC
rnacentral:rRNA from 1 species